rnacentral:rRNA from 1 species
AUUGAACGCUGGCGGCAUGCCUUACACAUGCAAGUCGAACGGCAGCGCGGGGCAACCUGGCGGCGAGUGGCGAACGGGUGAGUAAUAUAUCGGAACGUACCCUGGAGUGGGGAGUAACGUAGCGAAGUUACGCUAUACCGCAUACGAUCUAAGGAGUGAAGUAGGGGCGUUCGCAAGAACCUCAUGCUCCUGGAGCGGCCGAUAUCUGAUUAGCUAGNGGUAGGGUAAAGACCUACCAAGGCAUCGAUCAGUAGCUGGUCUGAGAGGACGACCAGCCACACUGGAACUGAGACACGGUCCAGACUCCUACGGGAGGCAGCAGUGGGGUAAUUUUGGUACAAUGGGCGCAAGCCUGAUCCAGCAAUGCCGCGUGAG